GGAAACCAUUCGAAGAGUGCAAAGGCAUAAGGGAGCUUGACUGCGAGACUGACGGGUCGAGCAGGUACGAAAGUAGGACUUAGUGAUCCGGUGGUAUAAAGUGGGAUUGCCAUCGCUCAACGGAUAAAAGCUACCCUGGGGAUAACAGGCUUAUCACUCCCAAGAGUUCACAUCGACGGAGUGGUUUGGCACCUCGAUGUCGGCUCAUCGCAUCCUGGGGCUGAAGUAGGUCCCAAGGGUUGGGCUGUUCGCCCAUUAAAGCGGUACGCGAGCUGGGUUCAGAACGUCGUGAGACAGUUCGGUCCCUAUCCGGCGUGGGCGUAGGAUAUUUGAGAGGAGCUGUCCUUAGUACGAGAGGACCGGGAUGGACUGACCUCUGGUGUACCGGUUGGGUAUCAAACCCAUGGCCGGGUAGCCAAGUCGGGAAGGGAUAAACGCUGAAGGCAUCUAAGCGUGAAGCCCCCCUCAAGAUGAGAUAUCCCAUCGCAAGAGUAAGACCCCUUGAAGACGACGAGGUAGAUAGGGCAGAGGUGGAAGCAUGGCAACAUGUG
rnacentral:rRNA from 1 species